UGUGAGAGGGGAUGAAAAUUAAGAGAGAGAAGGAAAGAAAAACGAGAUAGAGAGGCAAGAUCAGCAAAGAAAAAGGAAGGACAUUGACUCAGCAGUUGCAGUUUGAAAGGAAAAAGACAGAAGAGGAAGCUCUGAUAGUGUACGAACGUGUGCUGCAAGUGUGUGCUGAAGUUCUCAUUUUACUGUUUUUCUCUGCCUGUGGAUAAAUGUACUCCAUGGAGGACGCUCACAUGGCCAGGACCAUAGAGCUGAAUGACGGUACACAAAUGCCAGUUUUGGGUCUGGGGACAUGGAAGUCCUCCUACCUGCCCCGCACCUCAGUCCAGGGCGCAGUAGAGGCUGCCAUUGCUGCUGGCUAUCGCCAUAUAGACACUGCUUACAGCUACAGCAAUGAAGUAGAUAUUGGGAAGGCUCUGCGCUCCAAGAUGCAGCAGAGCAUCAUCAGGCGCCAGGACAUGUUCAUUGUCAGUAAGCUGUGGUGUACCCACCAUGCCUCAGAGGACAUCCCUGUAUGCCUGAACAAGUCCCUGAAUGAUCUCCAGUUAGACUACCUGGAUCUUUACCUUGUGCAUUUCCCUGUUGGCCUAGAGAAAAUGGGUGAUGACCUUUUCCCGAAAAAGGACGGAAAGAUGCUGACCUCUGACACAGACUAUGUUGAUGUAUGGAGGGGGAUGGAAGCCCUGCAAGCUUCAGGGAAGGUGAAGAGCAUUGGUGUGUCCAACUUUAGCAUCCUGCAGCUAGAGAGACUUCUUGCUCUGUGCAGGGUGCCCCCUGCUGUCAAUCAGGUGGAGCUACAUCCCUACCUAGUGCAGACAGAGAUGAUAGAGUUCUGUAAGUCCAAGAACAUCACCCUGACUGCCUACAGCCCCUUUGGCUCACCUGCGCGACCUCCGGGGCUGAUCAGAGAAAACACUGAUCCACAUAAGCUCCUGGAGGACCCAGUCAUUGCAGAUAUAGCCAAAAAGCAUAGACGCAGCCCUGCACAGGUAUUGCUGAGGUACCAUGUGCAGCAGGGUAUUGCAGUCAUUCCUAAGAGUGACAAGCCUCAUCAUAUUCUUGAAAACACAAAGCCUUGGCCAUUGUUUCAUUCAGGUCUUUUCACUGCACCUGCCUGUCUACCUGUCUGCAUUUGGUUAAUCCCUGCCCGUGCUCCCUACACUGUGACCUCACGAUUUGGCCAGACAUGGACUCAGUGGAUGCGGCAUUCCCUGAGGAGGAACUAAGGGAGGCAUAAGUUAUAGAGUGCCUCCUAACUUACUUAGAAUAGAAGGGUGCAGCUCUGGCAUCAGCCAUCCACCAGGUCACUUCAAGACAUUUGGUUGAUGAAGGUUUGGAUCAUUGCUGUGUUUGUGACCUUUGCAGCUGCAGAGAUGGCACCCUCCUGCCCCAGUUCAUUGAUUCUGCCCGUUUCCCUGUUGGCUAGUAUUAGGCAUGUUAACCUCCAGCUUUUCUCCGAAUCAUCUAGCACUGAACUUGCUAGCCUGCAGUCUGCUUUCAAGUCGGCUAGCAUCUGGCCAGCACCCCAGAUAGUAAGACUUGGGUUUGUUAGCUGCUACCUGCCCCUGAGCCAGCUAGCCUCCUGUCUGCCCUCCUGCCCCAGAACUAUCUUGCAUCCUGCCUGAUUCUGCCCCUGAGUCGGCUAGCCUCGAGCCAGCUUCUCCUGGAGCUAGGAAAAGGUCUGCUACCCACCUGCCUGCAGCCCAGUUGGCUAGCCAUUUGCCUGCUUACAAGUCAACUAGCCCUAGGCCUGCUGGCUUUCAGCCUGCACGCCAGUUGGCUAAUUGCCUGCCUGCUUUUGUCCCUGAGUCAAAAGGCUCCCUGCCUAAUUCUGCCCCUGAAAACCUCUGGCUGUCACCUUUCACGGGGAGUCACCUUGCCAUUCUUAGGGGAUAUCCUGGUGAUGGAGCCCCAGAAGGAGGCAUGGCCAUCAUAGACGCUGGACUCCUCCACUGCCCAGUGACCCAGAGCCUCUGCUGCCCAGCACCACUACUUUCGCUCAGCCCGAACCUGAGUCGGCCACCCCAGGUAACGCCUCUGCUCUCCAGCUGCUGGCGGUUUCCACUGACGCCCAUCCAGAUGCACUGUCUGCCUGUCCUGCAUUCCAACCACUGGCUUCAAGUGAUGCCUCUGGAUUGAAGCUGCCAUCCGUCUACCACCUGUUGGGUUUGUACAGAAGGGCCUCUUGAGUUCCUUUUGCCAUCUGCCAGCUUCAAACUCUGGCCACCAGGACAGUGGUGGACCGGUCAGCUGGCUGACAAGCACUGUCAUACCUAGAGCCCUGCAGCUAGUGUGGAUUUAAAAAUGCGAUGAGUCCUCAUCUGCUGAAGUGAAGCCUAGGAGCUAGUUCAGGCAGUGAAUUCAAGUCCACCACUACACUCACAUGACAUAAUCUUCUCAUGACAAUGCAUUUGCAAUGGCCCUUUUGAUUUUGCAGCUGUCAGUGCCCCGCUCAUUCUUGCUGCUAUCCCUGCUGCCACAUCAUUCUGCUGUUAACUGAUUCUUCUGGUGACACCACUGUUGUUGUUCACAUAGCAUUUUAAAGCCACACCUCCACCCACGCACCCACCUUUAGGCUCUGAGUCUACAUUUUCUUAAGGCAGAAGUUAUCACUCCACAUUCCCUGUUGUGCUGAGCCUAGUGUUUCCUUUUAUGGAGUGACAAGAUAAGACCAAAGACACGAAAUAUCAAUGUUGUACAUAUUCUACAGUCACAUAAUAAUCUAAUCCAUGAGUUUACUGACUGAAAUAUACAUAUGAAUACCUUAUAAAACCACUACAUAUGAAUCUCUAUCUCUUUAUGUUUGAUAAUGUUAGUAUUGUUAUGCCUCAUCACAAAUUGUUAGCAUGGAGCACCAAUGAUAUACUGAGGACAUGCAGAUGAUUUGGGGUGUCUGCGUUCACCUCUUAUUGGUUAUAUUGACCAAAUGGGCAAUCAGCCCAAACAUUAUUUUUCACCUCAGAUAUUCUGCUUUCAUAGCUGAAUUACUGGGAUAAUAAAACACUAUGUCUAUGACUUAAAAAAACAAAACAAAAAGUAAUGAGCAUCAAUAUAACUGCCAUUAAAACGAUCUUGUCAAAAUCUAUUUCAAUGCUUUUGGAGUAUUGUGCAGAUCUUUGACUUCAGUCUGCCUGAAGAAGACAUGAGAGCACUGAGAGGACUGGACCGAGGGUGGAGGUCCUUAAUGUUUGACGAAAUCAAGUCUCAUCCGUACUACCCCUUUGUAUGAG